GCCAAGGCCUUCUGGAGCGAGGAGGAUGUGGACCAGGUGUUUCAGGGGGUCUUUGAGUACCUGGAUCACCUGAAGAGUGUCCUGAAGAAGAACACGGCCACUGAUAAAGAGUACGUUCAGGGUCUGAAGCUGCUGGAGUCUCUCAACUGUCCUCAGGCGUCCAAUCAGGACUCGUCUGUGGUCCAGGUGGUCAUUGGCUCAGGUGAGCUGCUGCCGGCUCAGUUCCCCCCAC